rnacentral:rRNA from 1 species
UCAUAAUGAGAGCGGCGGACGGGUGAGUAACGCGUAGGCAACCUGCCCCAAACACAGGGAUAGCCUCGGGAAACCGGGAUUAAAACCUGAUAAUGCCAAGAAGUCACAUGGCUUUUCGGCCAAAGAUUUAUCGGUUUGGGAUGGGCCUGCGUCUGAUUAGUUAGUUGGUGGGGUAACGGCCUACCAAGACAACGAUCAGUAGCCGACCUGAGAGGGUGAUCGGACACAUUGGAACUGAGACACGGUCCAAACUCCUACGGGAGGCAGCAGCGGGGAAUAUUGCACAAUGGGCGAAAGCCUGAUGCAGCAACCCCGCGUGAGCGAUGAAGGCCUCUGGAUCGUAAAGCUCUGUCCUAGGGGACGAAAAAAAUGACGGUACCCUUGGAGGAAGCCCCGGCUAACUACGUGCCAGCAGCCGCGGUAAUACGUAGGGGGCGAGCGUUAUCCGGAAUUAUUGGGCGUAAAGAGUACGUAGGUGGUCUUUUAAGCGCAGGGUUUAAGGCAAUGGCUUAACCAUUGUUCGCCCUGUGAACUGGGAGACUUGAGUGCAGGAGAGGAAAGCGGAAUUCCUAGUGUAGCGGUGAAAUGCGUAGAUAUUAGGAGGAACACCAGUGGCGAAGGCGGCUUUCUGGACUGUAACUGACACUGAGGUACGAAAGCGUGGGGAGCAAACAGGAUUAGAUACCCUGGUAGUCCACGCCGUAAACGAUGAGCACUAGGUGUCGGGGUCGCAAGACUUCGGUGCCGCAGUUAAC